AGAAGGUGCAAAAAGAUUCACAUGCAGCAGACGCAUCAUUAGAAAGGGGAACCACUUCUACCUUUGCUCACACUACGACCAAGGUUGUUGUUUUCUUUCAAUGGAUCAACGAUAUUGAGAUGCUUAGGAGGAAACAGCUGACGUUGAACACAACUUGGCCCCCAAAAUUCUACAUUGAUCAGUCCCCACCAUUCUAUACAUUAAGAGACCCUCCUAACUUGUUUCCUAUUGAUGCUUCAAAUCAGUAGGAAUCAUUAGUAGAAUGUACACAAAGAUUACUCCAAACCUAAGAGAACAACAUUAGAAUACAUAGUGUGUCAGCCAGCCCCGAGCCCCGAGCUAAUUAAGCUGGUUUUGUGUUACCAGUCGCUGCUCUUUUGUCUCUCAGGCUUUGGGAUCCACACAGCUGAUCCCUUCCCACCAUUCUCAGACAACGGCGGGAAAU
rnacentral:lncRNA from 1 species